AAAAGUUCUUCCAUGAAGAAAAUCUCCACAGCUGUCGAGACUGCCCACUACUCCCAACUCCAGCUGCCAACUGGUCCUCCUGUACUGGCCCGCACAAGAGAUUUACAAAGAAGGCACAGACAAAGAACACAGGGAAUCCAUCCUGAACCUGCCAGCGAGGUGGUGGUGGUGUGAAAGCCCAAAACUGUGGUGAAAAGAUGUUUGCACUCCGCGCUUUACAGAGCUUUCACAGAACCACUUCCAGAUCCUGGCAUCGGGAGAAAAACUACACCAGCUGGAGUCCCAACCACUUAUCACACUUAUCCUAGAGAUGGUCUCUCAGCUUUGGAGCUGGUACCAUCCAGACUUGGUCCUGUGCCACAGGGUUCACUGAGGUCUCACCAGUGCCCACCUGAGAAGUC